rnacentral:lncRNA from 7 species
AAAUAGAAAUAUUAAAGGGGAAGUCCAAGACGCUUUAUUUUCUCCUUCAAAGUCAUUACUUCAUAGCCCAAACAAACAAACGGCUCUCUGAGACAGCUACAGAUUUGCCUGAGGAUGAAAGCACAUCUCUUCCCAGAGCAAAAGCACAAGAGCUGGUGUGGAUUUUAAUGGUGCCCUGCAGUGCUGGGAUAGCCACCUUCCCACCCCUUCCAGCAUGCUUGUGGCGAUGUCUGGGCUGGCUGAUGUCUACUGCAACACUUCCUGUGGCUGCAGCAGGGUGGCACAGGUCUCCAGGUGUGAUGUUAGACACCAGGAUUCAGCUCGAAGCUCACCCCGGAAGCAGACCAGGCACCAUUGCAGAGCCUGCAGCCCUCACUGCAGAGAACAUGGCAGCUGCCCUUCCCAUGGCUGGUGUCUCCUGCUGCUUGGCACCCAGCUCCAUAGGGGCAGCUCAGCUCAUACCAGACAUGCUGUUGCAUAGGCUGAAAUACCAAGAAGCCACCAUCUGCCAACAAGCUGCUGGCAAGAAGCAGUUAGCCUCCUUUAUCCAGGACAUCAACCAGAAAAGCACAGUCUACUUCUCCAAGCAAACGUGAACAUUUUCAGAGGAAAUCUGCUUACUCCAUGUUCUUCAUGCUUUGUAUGUCCUACUGCAUAGUUAGUGCCGUGAUUGGUAGAAAAAGACACAGCCUGGGGAGAAAGUCUGUAUGAGCAUCUGUAUCUUUUGUUAAUAAACAACUGUGUGGCAGAAAC